UACGUAGGGUGCGAGCGUUAAUCGGAAUUACUGGGCGUAAAGCGUGCGUAGGCGGUUCGCUGUGUCCGAUGUGAAAGCCCCGGGCUUAACCUGGGAAUGGCAUUGGAAACUGGCGGGCUUGAGUGCGGCAGAGGGGGGUGGAAUUCCGCGUGUAGCAGUGAAAUGCGUAGAGAUGCGGAGGAACACCGAUGGCGAAGGCAGCCCCCUGGGUCGACACUGACGCUCAGGCACGAAAGCGUGGGGAGCAAACAGA
rnacentral:rRNA from 1 species